rnacentral:rRNA from 1 species
CCUACGGGCGGCAGCAGUGAGGAAUAUUGGUCAAUGGCCGGAAGCCUGAACCAGCCAAGCCGCGUGAAGGACGAAGGUGCCACGCAUUGUAAACUUCUUUUGUCAAGGGACAAAAUCAGGCUCGAGAGCCUGACCGAGGGUACUUUAAGAAAAAGCAUCGGCUAACUCCGUGCCAGCAGCCGCGGUAAUACGGAGGAUGCGAGCGUUAUCCGGAUUUAUUGGGUUUAAAGGGUGCGUGGGCGGACGGUUAAGUCAGCGGUAAAAGCCCGGGGCUCAACCCCGGCGAGCCGUUGAAACUGGCUGGCUGGAGAGGGCGAGAGGUAGGCGGAAUGCGCGGUGUAGCGGUGAAAUGCUUAGAUAUUGCGCAGAACUCCGAUUGCGAAGGCAGCAUACCGGCGGCGAUCUGACGCUGAGGCACGAAAGCGUGGGUAUCGAACAGGAUUAGAUACCCGGGUAGUC